CCUACGGGAGGCAGCAGUGGGGAAUAUUGCACCAUGGGGGGAACCCUGAUGCAGCAAUGCCGCGUGGGUGAAGAAGCACUCCGGUGCGUAGAGCCCUGUCAGCAGGGAAGAAAAUGACAGUACCUGACCAAGAAGCCCCGGCUAACUACGUGCCAGCAGCCGCCGUACUACGUAGGGGGCAAGCGUUAUCCGGCUUUACUGGGUGGAAAGGGAGCGCAGGCGGUAUGGCAAGUCAGAUGUGAAAACCCAGGGCCCAACCCUGGGACUGCAUUUGAAACUGCAAUACUGGAGUGCCGGAGAGGUAAGUGGAAUUCCUAGUGUAGCGGUGAAAUGCGUAGAUAUUAGGAGGAACACCAGGGGCGAAGGCGGCUUACUGGACGGUAACUGACGCUGAGGCUCGAAAGCGUGGGGAGCAAACAGGAGUAGAUACCCCAGGAGUC
rnacentral:rRNA from 1 species